GACGAACGCUGGCGGCGUGCUUAACACAUGCAAGUCGAGCGGUAAGGCCCUUUCGGGGGUACACGAGCGGCGAACGGGUGAGUAACACGUGGGUGACCUGCCCUCAGCUCUGGGAUAAGCCUGGGAAACCGGGUCUAAUACUGGAUAUGGCUCCAUGACGCAUGUUGUGGGGUGGAAAGCCUUGUGCGGCUGAGGAUGGGCCCGCGGCCUAUCAGCUUGUUGGUGGGGUGAGGCCUACCAAGGCGACGACGGGUAGCCGGCCUGAGAGGGCGACCGGCCACACUGGGACUGAGACACGGCCCAGACUCCUACGGGAGGCAGCAGUGGGGAAUCUUGCGCAAUGGGCGAAAGCCUGGCGCAGCGACGCCGCGUGA
rnacentral:rRNA from 1 species